rnacentral:rRNA from 1 species
GGCUAACUCAGUGCCAGCAGCCGCGGUAAUACGGAGGAUGCGAGCGUUAUCCGGAUUUAUUGGGUUUAAAGGGUGCGUAGGCGGGCUGUUAAGUCAGCGGUCAAAUGUCGGGGCUCAACCCCGGCCUGCCGUUGAAACUGGCGGCCUCGAGUGGGCGAGAAGUAUGCGGAAUGCGUGGUGUAGCGGUGAAAUGCAUAGAUAUCACGCAGAACUCCGAUUGCGAAGGCAGCAUACCGGCGCCCGACUGACGCUGAGGCACGAAAGCGUGGGUAUCGAACAGGAUUAGAUACCCUGGUAGUCCACGCAGUAAACGAUGAAUACUAGCUGUCCGGGGCGAAUGAGCCCUGGGUGGCACAGCGAAAGCGUUAAGUAUUCCACCUGGGGAGUACGCCGGCAACGGUGAAACUCAAAGGAAUUGACGGGGGCCCGCACAAGCGGAGGAACAUGUGGUUUAAUUCGAUGAUACGCGAGGAACCUUACCCGGGCUCAAACGACACAGGAACGUACCUGAAAGGGUUCGGCUCUACGGAGCCUGUGUCGAGGUGCUGCAUGGUUGUCGUCAGCUCGUGCCGUGAGGUGUCGGCUUAAGUGCCAUAACGAGCGCAACCCCCAUCGACAGUUGCUAACAGGUCAGGCUGAGGACUCUGUCGAGACUGCCGGCGCAGGCUGCGAGGAAGGCGGGGAUGACGUCAAAUCAGCACGGCCCUUACGUCCGGGGCGACACACGUGUUACAAUGGCAGGUACAGCGGGAAGCCACCUGGCGACAGGGAGCGGAACCCGAAAGCCUGUCUCAGUUCGGAUUGGAGUCUGCAACCCGACUCCAUGAAGCUGGAUUCGCUAGUAAUCGCGCAUCAGCCACGGCGCGGUGAAUACGUUCCCGGGCCUUGCACACACCGCCCGUCAAG